GAUGAAGAACGUAGCGAAAUGCGAUAAGUAAUGUGAAUUGCAGAAUUCAGUGAAUCAUCGAAUCUUUGAACGCACAUUGCGCCCCCUGGUAUUCCGGGGGGCAUGCCUGUCCGAGCGUCAUUACAACCCUCAAGCUCAGCUUGGUGUUGGGCCCCGCCGCCCCGGCGGGCCCUAAAGUCAGUGGCGGUGCCGUCCGGCUCCGAGCGUAGUAAUUCUUCUCGCUCUGGAGGUCCGGUCGUGUGCUCGCCAGCAACCACCAAUUUUUUUCAGGUUGACCUCGGAUCAGGUAGGGAUACCCGCUGAACUUAAGCAUAUCAAUAAGCGGAGGA
rnacentral:misc_RNA from 1 species